CUACGGGGGGCACCAGUGAGGAAUAUUGGACAAUGGGGGAAACCCUGAUCCAGCAAUGCCGCGUGAAUGAAGAGGGCCUUCGGGUUGUAAAGUUCUUUCACUCGUGAAGAUGAUGACGGUAGCGAGAGAAGAAGCCCCGGCUAACUCUGUGCCAGCAGCCGCGGUAAGACAGAGGGGGCUAGCGUUGUUCGGAAUAACUGGGCGUAAAGGGUGCGUAGGCGGCUAUUUAAGUAAAGUGUUAAAGCCCUGAGCUUAACUCAGGAAUCGCAUUUUAAACUGGAUAGCUUGAGUAUGGGAGAGGGAAGUGGAAUUCCUAGUGUAGAGGUAAAAUUCGUAGAUAUUAGGAGGAACACCAGAGGCGAAGGCGGCUUUCUGGCCCAUAACUGACGCUGAGGCACGAAAGCGUGGGGAGCAAACAGGAUUAGAUACCCGAGUAGUC
rnacentral:rRNA from 1 species